rnacentral:misc_RNA from 1 species
CGAAAACCAAAAAUAAAAUAUUAUAAUUGUGUCUAUGCAACAACGGAGUUUGAACCAGCACAAAAUUUACUGAUUACAGAUACAGAAGGUCCUUAACCAUCUUUAAUCAAGGCUACAAAAAGUAACAAACGCAUCCGUACAUUUGCAUAUAAGUUAGGCUACUUAGAACGUAGACCCAAUGAAAGCAAAGCGAAAUUUAUCUACCGAGAAGCCACUGGGUUCACCUUAUAUACGUGCCAGCCUCAAGUGAGCCUACGCCUACACCUUAAGGAGCCUAUGGCUUUUGUAGCUUCAAUUUCAGGAGACUCUUCUACAACGGAAUCUUCUUGUACAACAAGUCCACGGUUCCUAGAGAAUUUCCUGAUUGGUGUGCGGUUAUGAGUUUCUUGUCUAACGUUAGUUGCAGGCUCCAACUCAGAAGUAGCAGAACUUUUCCUGUCUGGCAUUAGCUCAUCACCAUCUGACACCACAUCCAUCAUUAGCUGCCAAUCCUUGAAAUCAAUUCUGAACACAAAAUGCCUAUAUGUGGCCUCCCCUGACAUUACAGAAUUGGCAGCAGGAGCAUUCCUUGGUGCUGAAGAUGAGAAAAGUGUCAGACCAGCAAAAGUAUAGAAUAUAAAAAACGCAAUAAUAAAAUUUUGUAUAGACUAGUCAAUCUUACAAACAAGGUGAGAGCCACUUUCAUCAACAGUUAUCUGAACCCGCCCAUCUUUAACUAAGAAAGACAAAACAAACAAAUUCUCCACAGUCUGUGCAAAAGACCUUCUAUUCAAGAUCAAAUUUUCAAGUCGAACCCAUUUGUUCCUCCUUAAGAUCUCAAACAUUAUUGACAUAUUAUUAUCAGUAUCUGUUUUCUCUUCAGCCCCAGUAUCAUCAACCUAGAGAACAUGAACCGCAAAACUUGUCAAUGCUCAUUGUUUAAGAACAAUGAACAACACAUUCAUGCUUUAUAAUUGGAAUAGAAAGUCAUGGAUAAUUAACUUUGGAGUAUCAUAUGAAAGCCAACCUUCAAGCUAAAUUAUGAACAUUUUAGAGAUUUAAGACAGAAGAAGGGACUGUGCAAAACGUCAUCUAAUAUCAAUUCAAUUAUGAGAAUCAGGUUGAAGAAAAGUGACAACAGAAAAACAGGAAUCUCCAUUCACCCUUCUCUAGCUUAUGUCCCCUCUAAAGAAAACACCAUUUUAUAUCCUUCACUGCUCAAACUUUGGAACCGUAAUAAAUACAAAAGGAAGCCAAAAGGUAACAUCACCUCCUCCGGCUGAGAUCUUUCAGUUGGCCUUGCACGUUUUCUAUCACCUCUAACAGUUGUCUUCCUUUGCUUCAACUCAGUAUUCAUUGGUCCAACCAUUGUGCUGAACCCAUUACAUUUCCUGAAAAUAGAUGAAACAGCAAGCCCAAUCUCUUUCCACUUGAUCAAACUAGAGAAAUUCCCUUCAUCCGGUGUCCCAUUGGAUUGCCCAAACUCUGACAGCACACAAGAAACAAAGUCUGCAGCAGUAAUGCCCUCAUUUGACUGUGAUUUAACAGAUGAGACCAAUGUGUUUGCAAGGCCUAGUAAUGCUUCUGCAUCUGCAACUUGCUCUCUUGGCUUUUGCACAUGCUGGUGCAAAUCUUCAACUUCCUUAAUCAUAGAAUUAAACUUCUCAGAAUCCACUCUCGUUAAAUCAUCUCUCUCAUCGUUGAUCUUAUUAUGUAAUGCAAGAUACUUCGAUCGGAGGGCUCGCCGAUCGACUUCAUCUUGCUGAGUGGAAUCGUCCGUGCCUGAGCCACCUCGAUUCUGAGUCAUUUUUUCACGCUUGACUGCUCUGAGUUGUCGGUCGGUGGCAUUACUAGCAUUAGUGGGUUCUCGAUUCAGAGCUCUACCCAUGAUAUCAGAUUCUUCAAAAGGAAAAUAAAAACCCAAAUUAUCAAAGAAUCUUGAAAGAAAUUGAAGUUCUUACACUAUGGAUUUUCAGAAUGGAGGACCUUUUCCCGCUCCCGUGCAAAGUGAAAACUGAAAUCAAUCAAUUUCAAAAGACAAAUUUUG